GGGGGCGGCGGGCCGCGGCGCGGGCCCGGGGCCCGGCGCGUGCGGCUGGGAGGCACUGUGGGGGGCGGGCGCGCGGGCGGCGGCCGGGGCCAUGGCCGAGGGCGGCGGGGGCGCGCGGAGGAGGGCGCCGGCGCUGCUCGAGGCUGCCCGCGCGCGCUACGAGAGCCUGCACAUCUCGGACGACGUGUUCGGCGAGUCCGGCCCGGACAGCGGCGGGAACCCCUUCUACAGCACCUCGGCCGCCUCGCGCUCCUCCUCGGCCGCCUCCUCGGACGACGAGCGCGAGCCCCCGGGACCCCCAGGGGCCGCCCCGCCACCGCCCCGCGCCCCGGACGCACAGGAGUCGGAGGAGGACGAGGCCGGCGCGGGCUGGAGCGCAGCGCUGCGGGACCGCCCGCCCCCGCGCUUCGAGGACACCGGCGGUCCCACCCGAAAGAUGCCCCCCAGCGCCAGUGCCGUGGACUUCUUCCAGCUCUUUGUCCCAGACAACGUCCUCAAGAACAUGGUGGUGCAGACAAACAUGUACGCCAAGAAGUUCCAGGAGCGGUUUGGGAGCGACGGAGCCUGGGUGGAGGUGACGCUGACGGAGAUGAAGGCGUUCCUGGGCUACAUGAUCUCCACCAGCAUCUCCCACUGCGAGUCCGUCCUCAGCAUCUGGAGCGGAGGCUUCUACAGCAACCGCAGCCUCGCCCUCGUCAUGAGCCAGGCCCGCUUCGAGAAGAUCCUCAAGUACUUCCACGUCGUGGCCUUCCGCUCCAGCCAGACCACGCACGGGCUCUACAAGGUCCAGCCCUUCCUCGACUCCCUGCAGAACAGCUUCGACUCUGCCUUCAGGCCUUCCCAAACGCAGGUGAGGCCCGCGCAGGAGGUGCUACAUGAACCCCUGAUCGAUGAGGAUCCUGUAUUCAUUGCCACGUGCACAGAGCGGGAGCUGCGAAAGAGGAAAAAGCGGAAAUUCAGCCUCUGGGUCAGACAGUGUUCUUCCACUGGCUUCAUCAUCCAGAUUUAUGUCCACCUGAAGGAAGGUGGGGGCCCAGAUGGCCUGGAUGCGCUGAAGAAUAAGCCCCAGCUCCACAGCAUGGUGGCCAGGAGCCUGUGCCGGAACGCGGCAGGCAAGAACUACAUCAUUUUCACGGGGCCCAGCAUCACCAGCCUGACCCUGUUUGAAGAGUUUGAGAAGCAAGGGAUUUACUGCUGCGGCUUGCUCAGCGCGCGGAAGAGUGACUGCACCGGCCUCCCACUGUCCAUGCUGACCAACCCAGCCACACCCCCGGCCCGGGGCCAGUACCAAAUCAAGAUGAAGGGGAACAUGUCCUUGAUCUGCUGGUACAACAAAGGACACUUCCGCUUCCUGACCAACGCCUACUCCCCGGUGCAGCAGGGCGGAUCUGUUGAUACCUUCUCUGCUCUCAUGCUUUAGGUCUCUGCUCUGUCCCAAGGCCAGAUAAGUAUAAGUUCACCUGGCUGUUUUAUGGUAUAAUUUUGUGCUCUUUACCAUAAUCCACUUCAAAUUUAUUUUGACGCAUGGCAUCAAGUGGGCCUCUACUAUUUUGUUGUUAAGUGGCCAGGCUGGGUUGACCCAGCAGCUGCACCUCUGUGCCUAGACCAUUUAUUGAAUAAUUCAUCCUUUUCCUAUUUAUUUUAAAUCUCACUCAGGGCCAGGUGUGGUGGCUCAUGCCUAUAAUCCGAGCUACUCAAGAGGCUGGGGCAGGAGAAUCUCUUGAACCUGGGAGACAGAGGUUGCAGUGAGCCGAGAUUGUGCCACUGCACUCCAGCCUGGCCGACAGAGCAAGACUCUGUCUCAGAUAUAUAUGUAUAUCUCAGAUGAUAAACUGAAGCAUCAUAUAUUCUAGAGACUACUUCUCAGCUCUAUCUUAUAUUCUGUUCUACUAUGACCAUAUAUACUCUGGUUGUAGUUGAGCAGAAUUUCCAAUUUUAGGAAAUAUGUAACUAGGUAUGAACAUUUUAGGAACUGGUUUAUUUUUUUUUACUCCAGAUUCUAGGGAAUCAUGAACCUUUUUGUCACAGAGUAUGAGCAUAUGUACAGGCUUUUUAAAAAGUUAAAUGCAGGCCAGUCACAGUGGCUUAUGCCUAUAAUCCCAGCACUUUUGGAGGCCAAGUUGGGAGGAUCACUUGAGUCCAGGAGUUUGAGACCAGUCUGAGCAACAUGGCAGGACCCCAUCUAUGCAAAAAAUACCACCUCCCCCCCAAAAAAAUUAGCUGGGCAUGGCGUAGCUGUAGUAGUCCCAGCUACUGGGGGUGGGGGUUGGUGGGGCACUGAGGCAGGAGGAUCACUUGAGCCCAGGAGGUAGCGGCUGCAGUGAGCCAAGAUCGUGACACUGCACUUCAGUCUGAACAACAGAGUGAGACUGUCUCAAGAAAAAAAAAAAUGUUAAAUGCUGUCACAUGUCAAGGGAUAUUCCCAUUGUGAGCCAAACCCUUUUGCUUUUCUUUCGAAAUCCACCUUGGGUCUGUCAUCUUCCUCCUGGAGUCUGCCCAUUUAGGAUUCACAUUCACUAAGACUAAUGAGAAGGCAGAAUGUCUGCAUAUGAAUAUGAGUCAGGUCUUGAUUCAUUCACUUAAAUUUGCAGAAGGGUAGCAGGAAUGUCAGUCAAGCCACUAACAGCCGAGGAAGGUGCUAAGACAGAACAACUGUUAGAAUGGGAAGACAGGGCCAUGUCGAUCUUGAGCAUCACAGAGACAGACGUGCAGAAGAUAGACGUGUGCAGAGCCAUGUAGCUCUGAAUACAGCGUCCACCAUGAACCUGUGCAUGACAUACCCGCCAUUCUCAGUGAUUCACUCACUCAAGACAGUCACUAUCAGAUUCCCUCUUGCUAAUAUUGCCAAUGUUAGCAAUCAGAAGAUGUCACAGGACAGCUGCCUUGCCUUUUUCAGCUGGGAUACUACCUCAGAAUCCAAAAUAUCAUAGGGAGAGGAGGGUGAUCUGGUUUAUAAACUGGGGAAGUGCUCAAGGAGAGGAUGCAGAUCUGGUGUGGAAACAGCUCAGUUUCAAGCUGAAACCCCCAUGUUAAAUUUAAAAUUAUGAAAAGGAAUGGGAAAGAAAUGAAGAGUUAAAGAAGGUCUCCCAUGUCCCGUGGCGAGGUAGAUUGGGACAGUGACAGUCCAGGAGCCUCUGCUCUUAUUGGGCUGAAAUCAGGAGGUGAAAAGCUGCAAGGUCGGUGGCUAUGGGGACGGGUCUAUGGGAAACCCCGAGAUCUUCGGAGAGCGGCCCUGACUCCCCGGAGACACUAAUGACUCAGAGCGGGGCAUCCUGAGUUCCGGGAAAAGAACUAAGGGGAUUUCCAUUUCUUUAUAGGGAUGGUCUCACCUGCUCACAUCCAAGUGGAACCCUAAAGAGGCCAGAGCCUCCUGUGACCCAGAGAAGGUUGUCAUUGGAGGUCAGGCAAAUCAAAACAUAGCUGGAGAUGGGAGACCUGCACGGGCCACAUGCUGUGGCCCCAAGUGUGAAAAGGGGUUCCUCCUACUCGGUCUUGGAGGCAGAGGCAGCUGAGAUAAGGGGCCGGGGACAGGAACCCUCAGGAGGGGCGUUGGAGAAAGACGGCAGUCCUUGGGCACUGCAGGCCCACACGCCCUCCCUGGCGCCUGGUGCGCUGAGCCCUGGAGAACGCCCCCACUGCGGGCUCCUGACAGCAGAGCAUCUCUCAGGAGGAGGGGCUCCAUAAGCAAGUGAAGGAGGCCAUAGUCUUCCGGCCAGGAGGAAGCUGCAAUGUGGGGGCCGCCGUGGUUUUCUGGCCCUUGGAGAGCUUUAGGAAACGCAUUGCCAGGGCCCGUUCCCCGGUCCUGCGUCUCUAGGGCAGGCCUUGGCAGCUCCAUUUCCCACAAGCUGGCCAGUGUUUCUUCCAUGCGAAAUGCUGCUGUUUCUGAGGAAAGAAGGAAAGAGUCCGGCUCAGUGUAUGUAAGCAGAUCUGCGCGACCCUGGUCUCCUCAGCCACGGUCCCUCAGUGACAGUUGUGGUGGUGGGAGGGGGCUGGCCCCAGAUGAAGCUCCUGUGGACCUGCAAAGGACAUGCCCAUUUGACUUUGACCUUGUCCAUUUAAGUAUUGCUGAAAUUUCACAAUCCUGUGAGCCAAUCCCUUAAAAAAAAAAUACAGAAAAAUGGCACUGUGCCCAUAGUCCCUUGCUGCUGUGAGGCAAGGCCAGUUCAAGGAAACAGUAGGUCAACUCCAACCACACUCGAAUGGCCGCGGCUGUUAGGAAGAACGCGUCCUUCUCAUCUUCUGUGUUGUCUGCGGUGGGUGGCGCAUAGGGCAGGCCUGGGAAGCCAGAAUGACCAGCAGUGGCUUGGCAGCGGGGCAAGGAGGGCUCAUGGGUCUCCGUGUGCUUCUCAGGCCCUGCUGGUAGGAUUUGUUCAUCUUGCCAUGACCUUCGCGGUGCCCCUGGGAUGCAUUCCCAGUUGUACUUAGUAGAGGAAAAGGUGUUUGAGAGUGUAGGGCCCCCAGAGUUCAAGGAGGCAUGAAAGGAUGGAGCUGGGGGAUGGGAGGGUUGAAAAGGACAACCGCCUCCUUCUUCUGAGCCUCUAAUUCCUUUUGGCUGCGCGUGGAGCCUCGCACAUGUAAUCCCAGAGUUUUGGGAGGCCCAGGCAGAGGAUCACAUAAGGCCAGGAGUUUGAGACCAGCCUAGGCAACAUGGUGAGACCUAGGCAACAUGGAGUCAUCAUCAAAAGGAAGAGUGGGGAGAUCCCAUGUCCCUUGGCCGUGGAGGCGUUUGCCGCUCACCUGAGCUACAUCUGCAGAUAC